AAAAAGCAAGAAAACACAAAUUAUUUUUGACAAAAUGGCUAUUAAUAGUACGUCAAAGUUUUUCUUUUGCAUUCUUUUCGUGGCUUUGGUUUUUGUUUUAGAUGCAAGCAGUGUCGAUAGGAGGUUGGAUCAUUGCGAUAAAACAAUAUCAUGUGAUACUGGAUUUUGUCGCGUUUUAUGUAUCAUACUUAAUCACUUUCAACGUUGGGAGUGUAAUCCCACAAGUGGUUGCUGCUGCCAUAGUGAUGGUUAAUUCAAAUGUUCUUCACCUUAUGUAUUUUGAAUGAACACAUCUUUUUAUGUAUUUUCUGAUAAAAAUAAACAAGUAGAGAAUCAAUAAAAUAAAAAAUUAUUAAAGUGUU